ensembl:antisense 4933431E20Rik RIKEN cDNA 4933431E20 gene
AGGCGCAGCUGCUGCGGCUCCUGAAAUCCUCGGGUGUGAAGUUCUCCCAGGGCUGUUGAUGCUUCAUCUACUCUUCUGGCAGUGGGGGCCUGGACCUUAGUUACCCGGGGAGCGUGAGUCAUGUUGCACAGUUGAGCUGGCACAUAAAACUACGAGUUUAUAGAACAAGGAAUUGAAGCUUGGAGAAGAUUGAUGGACCACUCAAGUUCCCUGGAUGGUCCAGGAUGCAGACUGAGGAUGGCCUAAAACAUUAGUUUUGCUGGCUCCCUGUGCUUGGCUAACUUUAGAGCCUCUUACCUUGCCACAGUCUUUUCUAUGAAGGACAGAGAGCCAAGGAGUGGACCAACAUGCCUGAGUUUACACAGUGGACCUGAGGACCGUCACCUCCCAGUGCAAUGUUCCUGUGUACUGCCACUGAAGAGACAGGUGGGAGGGAGCUCAAGGUUGACUUGCCUAACAACCAUUGCUUGAAAGACAAAGCUCCCAAGGAGAGCACAAAAUACCUCACUCGAGACACCUCUGCAUCACCAACCAGUGUGAAGAAAGCCUGCAGCUGUCAGCAGAGUAUUCUUUGUCUCGGUGACACGCUGUGCCUACAGUUGGACUAGAAACUUUGGAUUAGGGUGUGAGUCGUGCCCCAUAGGACAGAGGUGGUGCAUGUAGCCUCAUUUUGGAGUUUAUUUAGAGAGGAGAAAGAAUGUACCAUAGUCCCCAAAGGCUCUAGGUUACAGUGAAUUCUCUUUAGUUCAGUUAUAGUUUAGUUUAGCUUGGUUUGGUUAGCUGUGGUUCCGUUCUGUUCCGUUCUGUUCUGUUCGGUUCAGUUCGGUUCAGUUGCAGAGUUGUUGCUCUUUCAUGCUUUGUAUCCCAACUCCCUGCUCUCUCUUGGCUUUGGUUCCCAUCAGGUCCAGAAUAAAUGGCAAGGAGAGGGUCAUAGAACAAGUUAAACGAUGCUUUUUAUUGGCAGGAUUGGGACUAAAGAGAUCAGGAGUAAGACUGGGAAUAAGUAUGCCAACUUAGGGUGUGGGGUAAAAUAAAUAGUAACCGGUGAGGGUCUCCAACCCAAUGAGAUACCAUUUGCCUCAGUGUCUGGACCUGUUCAUCUUCUUGGCUUUGUGAUCCAGGAUAUGUGGCUUGCCACUAACUGAAAGAGGACUUCCAAGGGCUCUAACUGGGUACCAAAUACUCCAUCUUGCACAUGAGAGGUCCUUGGUCUUAGAGGUAUUCGAGCUGGUCUCUAAUGAGUCAUCUGAAGGGAGAAAACAAUUCAGAUGGGGCUGGUUCCUAGUGAGGGACUCCCCAGAGUUUAUACCACCAAUGCGAUUAGAACUUCAAGACACACCUGAACGGAUGGAGCUGAGUCCCCAGAGGAAUAGCCCAUGCCUAGUGUCCCCAGCUCUCCCUUUCUCACCCCAGGAGAAUUAAAUUCCUCUGAAUAGGAGUCAGGAUCCCAGAGCUUCCUCACCCCCAGCAUCCUUCUGACAGCGUCCAGCCGGGCCUGGAUCCGUGGAGCCUCCUGUGGACACAGCAUCUGCAGCUCCCCAGGUCUCAUGUGAAGUAGCUGGCUUCCCAUUAGGGACCCGAGGGUCCUUACAGUGCUGUAAAUAACAAUGGUAGAAUCCACCAGAAGUAGGGUGGGCAGAUUCUAGGUCUUAGUAUUUGUGUAGAGAAGGAAAGUUGGGGUUACAGGAAUUAGGUAUCUGCAGGUACAGGGAUACACCUAGUGGUUUGGUCUCAGUGAACCACAGAAUUCCGAGAUUUGAGGGCAGAAACACUUUAAAAAAGACUGGUCUGGAAGGGAAGGGUGGCUAAGGUGGGCAGCCUAAGUUCUUCCAGAAUUUGCUACCCUUGACUCUUUCUCUUUCACUACAUAUGGCCUCUGCACUGGGUGUCCUACCCUAGGCUCAGACAAGCAGCUUUCAUUCAGCAGAGAAAGCCUAAGAUGGAGUCAUCAAGUACAGUGGAAGCUAGGUCGCACUCUAUAACUCUGAGAGUGAAUGGAGCCUGUGGUUCUCCCAUUUACAGGGCUUACCGCCCCUCAUCCCCCAGGGGACUGGUCACUCACACAGUGGAGAAGUUCUCUGCUUGUAGCCAGGCUGUAACCUCCUCAGGCUUUGAGCUCAGGCGAAGCAUUGGGGCCUGGAAUCAAGGAGCACUAGAAGUCAGAGGUCAUCCCAUCUUACAAACAUACACAGCCUCCUGUAUUGGGUCCCUUCUACUGAGAUCCCAUCAGGAUGCUUAUCUCACCUUCUGGUUUCCUAGUUCGGCAGGGACGCUCACCUAAUCUUUGUUCAGACCCUAUAAUGAACUUGGCACCGAGGAAGCAUGCAAUGAUAUUGAUUAAACUGAACUAAGAUUGUC